rnacentral:lncRNA from 1 species
UGGUCGCAGCCAUAAAUAAAUAAAUGAAUUCAGGUUACACACAAACCCCCUUGGAACUCUCAUCUUCCAUUUCUAUACCAUACUUUAAAAAAUUAACAAAUUAGACCCCGGCUUCCAUAAUAAUCUUGAUCCUAAUCCAUGGAUUUAGGCCUCACUUCAAUACCAUCAAUCACAAUGCCACUUUUUAGUUGAUAUCCUUUAA